CGCGAGCGCUUUCCGUUGUGACCCAGGCAGAACUUCGACAAAACAAAUUACAGAAGGAUGCCUUCUUGAAAUGUGGGUUCGUUCCUUACAAAUGGCAGAAAGGUUUUCAGCAGGCCUUCAUCAGCCAUUUAUGACGUAUACGGAAGUUUCCACUAAUUGGAAAGCAUCUGGACUCAAUCUGGCGUGGCGGACUGAAGUCAGAUCAGCUUUCAGGAUAUCCAGCAAGUGUUUCAGUCUAUUUAUUUAGCUUUUUAAGUGUGUAGGCUGUCUCAUGUGUCAUUGCUUAAUUUGUAAAGUUAUUUAUUUAUUAACUAAAGGACAAGAAAUACGCAGAUAACAUUUUGUUAGCUAUUUUUCCUCUUGUUUAUGGUAUAUUAGAGAUCCCCUGCUACAGAGGCUACUGUCAAAAUCGCAUAAUGAAUGCGCUUGGCUUAUGAACUUACAUUUCCAAUUUGAUUAAUUUAGUCAACUGUGAUUUUUGACUAAUUAUAUUCUUAGAUGGCAAAUUUAGACACUGUUACAAAACAUGAAGAUUUAUUUGUAAUUUUCAAGACUGAUACUGAUGAAUUAAACAUGAA